rnacentral:rRNA from 1 species
AAAUUGAAGAGUUUGAUCAUGGCUCAGAUUGAACGCUGGCGGCAGGCCUAACACAUGCAAGUCGAGCGGUAGCACAGAGAGCUUGCUCUCGGGUGACGAGCGGCGGACGGGUGAGUAAUGUCUGGGAAACUGCCUGAUGGAGGGGGAUAACUACUGGAAACGGUAGCUAAUACCGCAUAACGUCGCAAGACCAAAGUGGGGGACCUUCGGGCCUCAUGCCAUCAGAUGUGCCCAGAUGGGAUUAGCUAGUAGGUGGGGUAACGGCUCACCUAGGCGACGAUCCCUAGCUGGUCUGAGAGGAUGACCAGCCACACUGGAACUGAGACACGGUCCAGACUCCUACGGGAGGCAGCAGUGGGGAAUAUUGCACAAUGGGCGCAAGCCUGAUGCAGCCAUGCCGCGUGUGUGAAGAAGGCCUUCGGGUUGUAAAGCACUUUCAGCGGGGAGGAAGGCGGUGAGGUUAAUAACCUCACCGAUUGACGUUACCCGCAGAAGAAGCACCGGCUAACUCCGUGCCAGCAGCAGCGCGGUAAUACGGAGGGUGCAAGCGUUAAUCGGAAUUACUGGGCGUAAAGCGCACGCAGGCGGUCUGUCAAGUCGGAUGUGAAAUCCCCGGGCUCAACCUGGGAACUGCAUUCGAAACUGGCAGGCUAGAGUCUUGUAGAGGGGGGUAGAAUUCCAGGUGUAGCGGUGAAAUGCGUAGAGAUCUGGAGGAAUACCGGUGGCGAAGGCGGCCCCCUGGACAAAGACUGACGCUCAGGUGCGAAAGCGUGGGGAGCAAACAGGAUUAGAUACCCUGGUAGUCCACGCCGUAAACGAUGUCGAUUUGGAGGUUGUGCCCUUGAGGCGUGGCUUCCGGAGCUAACGCGUUAAAUCGACCGCCUGGGGAGUACGGCCGCAAGGUUAAAACUCAAAUGAAUUGACGGGGGCCCGCACAAGCGGUGGAGCAUGUGGUUUAAUUCGAUGCAACGCGAAGAACCUUACCUGGUCUUGACAUCCACAGAACUUUCCAGAGAUGGAUUGGUGCUUCGGGAACUGUGAGACAGGUGCUGCAUGGCUGUCGUCAGCUCGUGUUGUGAAAUGUUGGGUUAAGUCCCGCAACGAGCGCAACCCUUAUCCUUUGUUGCCAGCGGUUCGGCCGGGAACUCAAAGGAGACUGCCAGUGAUAAACUGGAGGAAGGUGGGGAUGACGUCAAGUCAUCAUGGCCCUUACGACCAGGGCUACACACGUGCUACAAUGGCAUAUACAAAGAGAAGCGACCUCGCGAGAGCAAGCGGACCUCAUAAAGUAUGUCGUAGUCCGGAUUGGAGUCUGCAACUCGACUCCAUGAAGUCGGAAUCGCUAGUAAUCGUAGAUCAGAAUGCUACGGUGAAUACGUUCCCGGGCCUUGUACACACCGCCCGUCACACCAUGGGAGUGGGUUGCAAAAGAAGUAGGUAGCUUAACCUUCGGGAGGGCGCUUACCACUUUGUGAUUCAUGACUGGGGUGAAGUCGUAACAAGGUAACCGUAGGGGAACCUGCGGUUGGAUCACCUCCUUA